rnacentral:rRNA from 1 species
UACGUAGGGGGCUAGCGUUGUCCGGAAUCAUUGGGCGUAAAGCGCGUGUAGGCGGUUCGGUAAGUCCGCUGUGAAAGUCAAGGGCUCAACCCUUGAAUGCCGGCGGAUACUGUCGGGCUAGAGUCCGGAAGAGGCGAGUGGAAUUCCUGGUGUAGCGGUGAAAUGCGCAGAUAUCAGGAGGAACACCUACGGCGAAGGCAGCUCGCUGGGACGGUACUGACGCUGAGACGCGAAAGCGUGGGGAGCAAACAGG